UACGAAGGGGGCUAGCGUUGUUCGGAACUACUGGGCGUAAAGCGCGUGUAGGCGGGUCUUUAAGUCAGGGGUGAAAUGCCAAGGCUCAACCUUGGAACUGCCUUUGAUACUGGAGAUCUUGAGUCCGGGAGAGGUGAGUGGAACUGCGAGUGUAGAGGUGAAAUUCGUAGAUAUUCGCAAGAACACCAGUGGCGAAGGCGGCUCACUGGCCCGGAACUGACGCUGAGACGCGAAAGCGUGGGGAGCAAACAGG
rnacentral:rRNA from 1 species